rnacentral:rRNA from 1 species
GACGAACGCUGGUUGGCGUGCUUAACACAUGCAAGUCGAACGGAAAGGCCCUGCUUUUGUGGGGUGCUCGAGUGGCGAACGGGUGAGUAACACGUGAGUAACCUGCCCUUGACUUUGGGAUAACUUCAGGAAACUGGGGCUAAUACCGGAUAGGAGCUCCUGCUGCAUGGUGGGGGUUGGAAAGUUUCGGCGGUUGGGGAUGGACUCGCGGCUUAUCAGCUUGUUGGUGGGGUAGUGGCUUACCAAGGCUUUGACGGGUAGCCGGCCUGAGAGGGUGACCGGCCACAUUGGGACUGAGAUACGGCCCAGACUCCUACGGGAGGCAGCAGUGGGGAAUAUUGCACAAUGGGCGGAAGCCUGAUGCAGCAACGCCGCGUGCGGGAUGACGGCCUUCGGGUUGUAAACCGCUUUCGCCUGUGACGAAGCGUGAGUGACAGUAAUGGGUAAAGAAGCACCGGCUAACUACGUGCCAGCAGCCGCGGUGAUACGUAGGGUGCGAGCGUUGUCCGGAUUUAUUGGGCGUAAAGGGCUCGUAGGUGGUUGAUCGCGUCGGAAGUGUAAUCUUGGGGCUUAACCCUGAGCGUGCUUUCGAUACGGGUUGACUUGAGGAAGGUAGGGGAGAAUGGAAUUCCUGGUGGAGCGGUGGAAUGCGCAGAUAUCAGGAGGAACACCAGUGGCGAAGGCGGUUCUCUGGGCCUUUCCUGACGCUGAGGAGCGAAAGCGUGGGGAGCGAACAGGCUUAGAUACCCUGGUAGUCCACGCUGUAAACGGUGGGUACUAGGUGUGGGGUCCAUUCCACGGGUUCCGUGCCGUAGCUAACGCUUUAAGUACCCCGCCUGGGGAGUACGGCCGCAAGGCUAAAACUCAAAGGAAUUGACGGGGCCCCGCACAAGCGGCGGAGCAUGCGGAUUAAUUCGAUGCAACGCGUAGAACCUUACCUGGGUUUGACAUGGAUCGGGAGUGCUCAGAGAUGGGUGUGCCUCUUUUGGGGUCGGUUCACAGGUGGUGCAUGCCUGUCGUCAGCUCGUGUCGUGAGAUGUUGGGUUAAGUCCCGCAACGAGCGCAACCCUUGUUCACUGUUGCCAGCACGUUAUGGUGGGGACUCAGUGGAGACCGCCGGGGUCAACUCGGAGGAAGGUGGGGAUGACGUCAAGUCCUCAUGCCCCUUAUGUCCAGGGCUUCACGCAUGCUACAAUGGCUGGUACAGAGAGUGGCGAGCCUGUGAGGGUGAGCGAAUCUCGGAAAGCCGGUCUCAGUUCAGAUUGGGGUCUGCAACUCGACCUCAUGAAGUCGGAGUCGCUAGUAAUCGCAGAUCAGCAACGCUGCGGUGAAUACGUUCCCGGG